rnacentral:rRNA from 1 species
GGGGUCAAUGAUUGGGGUGAAGUCGUAACAAGGUAGCCGUAUCGGAAGGUGCGGCUGGAUCACCUCCUUUCU